CCAAUAACUCACAAAAUACAAUAACAAGAAGAAACAAAACAGAAGGUAAGUUCCAAACUUAGUUACAUGGCUCGUUCACAUCACCAUGGUUUCCAUUGCGUCUGAGUUGAAUCUUCCUUUCCUAACCUCGCCAGCUCACCUCGAUCCAUUCGAAUGUACAAAGUUUAUUCUCAGAAUCUCAGAAUAGGAAAACAGGGAAGGCAAUUUCCAAGAUCAUCCAGAAAAAGCAUUCAUGCACCUAAAUAAGGAAUAUCUUUGUGAUGCAAGCUCGGAUACAAACAGACCAGUUCCCCAUGGUUUCGAUGAUAUGGUAUAUAUGUAUUUAACUUAUAAUAUAUUAACGGCUCACAGAUUCUUAUUGACCAAGAUUUCCCAGUAGCCGCUCAACCGCAGCAUGAACAUUACCUGCGGUGGCUGUCAGUGCUUGAAGAUUCUCCCGGGUAUCGAAAAAACCCAUUUCUUGAAGUUGUGCAAGCUGGGUGGCAUACAGUUCUUCCGGAGGCACUAAUAAUUAAAGAAAAGAAAAGCUGUCAGUUUAUGGAUAAUAAUAAAUGACGGUCUGAUAAAUUGAUGGUGAGUUUCAAUACCAUUUGAGGGGUUCGGUGUUGAAAAGCCUCCGGUUCCAAGGCCGCCAAACAUGUUCAUAAGCAUAUCCAGAUUCAUGUUAUUGGGAGAACCUGCGAUUUCCACACAGAAAAAGUAUCACAAACCGUCUGUACUAGGGUUCACAUGUUACCCAGAAGAUGAGAAAGAAAACUUGAAUUAUAUAUAUAAACCUGUUGCUCCUCCAGUUUGACCAAUAUCUCUGCAUACAGAAACAGCAACUUGAUAUUAAACCAUGAACUGCAAUGUAAGGAAUAAUUCUAGAAGGAACCCGACACAAAGUUUCUAGAAAAAGUUAUAUAAGCAAUGAUUUAAAGUUGACUUUAUGUGAUCUUGUAUAAGUUGCAUUUACUUUGAAGAUACGAGAUUAUAUUAAAAUCUUCACUUUUCUCUUUUGAA